rnacentral:rRNA from 1 species
GCGAACGGGUGAGUAACACGUGGGCAAUCUGCCCUGCACUCUGGGACAAGCCCUGGAAACGGGGUCUAAUACCGGAUACGACUCACGACCGCAUGGGCUCUGGGUGGAAAGCUCCGGCGGUGCAGGAUGAGCCCGCGGCCUAUCAGCUUGUUGGUGAGGUAACGGCUCACCAAGGCGACGACGGGUAGCCGGCCUGAGAGGGCGACCGGCCACACUGGGACUGAGACACGGCCCAGACUCCUACGGGAGGCAGCAGUGGGGAAUAUUGCACAAUGGGCGCAAGCCUGAUGCAGCGACGCCGCGUGAGGGAUGACGGCCUUCGGGUUGUAAACCUCUUUCAGCAGGGAAGAAGCGAGAGUGACGGUACCUGCAGAAGAAGCGCCGGCUAACUACGUGCCAGCAGCCGCGGUAAUACGUAGGGCGCAAGCGUUGUCCGGAAUUAUUGGGCGUAAAGAGCUCGUAGGCGGCUUG